UUGUUCGGACUUACUGGGCGUAAAGGGCUCGUAGGCGGCCAACUAAGUCAGCCGUGAAAUCCCUCGGCUUAACCGGGGAACUGCGUCCGAUACUGGAUGGCUUGGAUUUGGGAGAGGGAUGCGGAAUUCCAGGUGUAGCGGUGAAAUGCGUAGAUAUCUGGAGGAACACCGGUGGCGAAGGCGGCAUCCUGGACCAAUAUUGACGCUGAGGAGCGAAAGCCAGGGGAGCAAACGGG
rnacentral:rRNA from 1 species